UUUUUUUUUUUAAUUAAACGAGUCUGCAUCUGCCUUUAAAAUUACGUUCUUUAGAUAGCAAACGGUUAUAUUUGUGCUGCGCAGCUUAUAUAAUUAUUGACUAACCUAACUUUCUGAAAAAAUGUUUUUAUCAAUAAUUUCUGAUAUUUAUGCAGAGAUUUUCACGUCUCUACAUGAUAAAUAGAGACAACGUGAUGGCCAUCUGUAAAUCUUACAAAAGAAGAAAUGAUAUUUUUAACAUUUUUGAAAAUUUCAAAAAUUUUUUUGCUAAAGAACAGAUACAAUACAUGUAUUUUAUAAAAACUUUUGUUUUGUCUUUAUUUAGACAUUUUUUUUUUUUAAAUUUAUUUAGACAUUUUGUCUUUAUGCAGACAUUUGCAAAUUUUUGCAUAGUGUUUACAUUAUUAGCCUGCUGGUCGUCUGACGGUUGUUCAAUUGGAAUAUUUUGGAUCGUAUCGCUAGAAUCCAUAUGGAUGUCAAAGUCAAGCGAAUGAAGAGAAGAAUUAUUAUUCAAGAUAAGGUCUUGCGUACAAUGAGGAAAAAAAUUAGGAGCGAGUGUAAUAGUUCCUGCCAACGAGAUGUGACAACAUUUGCCACACACUCUUUCGUUUCGAACGCGCCCGGCUUGCUCGUGUAUCCACCGCCGCUGCCACCACUGUGCAGUGCUGUGCACGACCACCACGUUACGUAAACAUCGUGAAUGAGGGAACGGUGAGGAACGACGAGUCGAAAGAACUAGCAGAAUGGCCGUUAAACUCUUGGAGCAUAAAUAGGCAUACAGAUAAAUGCAUGAUGCAAUAAUGCAUGCGUAAAUGAACUUUUUGUAUACAGAACACCGCAGGAAAAUUACAUUAUUCGAGCGUUAGUGCUACAAUUGCAUAUGCUACUAUUAAGAGGUUUUGGUCGACGUCAGGAUCUGCCAUAGCAUCCAAAGACAAGGAAACAGGCAGUGCUCAAACAAUCAUGGGUGAGAUGCUUAUAAAAGAUAUCGCGAUAACGCUAUUCAUCCGGAGUUGACUUUUUUGUGUCCGCCCGGUCCGACCCUUGUGACGAUCACGCCAAAAGAGACGCGCACAAAACAGCGGGGUUGCGGAGAGUGCGCGAACACUAGGUAGUGGGAGAAGGUUACGUAAUCAGAUUUUGCAAUAGAAAGGACAAUCUUCGCGACUGCAUUUACAAGAUAAUAUUACAAUAUGAUGUAAAUGGAGCAAUAAAAAUUAAAAAAAAGCA